AGUUGUAAAGUUGCUUGGGUGUCAUGGGAGGAGAUGACUCAAGCAAAACAUAUGGGAGGGUUGGGAUUCCAAGAUAUUGAGUUAUUUAAUUUGGCGAUGUUAGCAAAACAGGGUUGGGGUUUAAUCGAAGAUUAUGAUUCGUUAAGUGCUCAAAUUCUGCGUGCGGCAUAUUACCCAAACACAAACUUGUUGGAAGCAGAGUUAGGAAGUUCACCAUCUCAGAUUUGGCAAGGAAUUAUGAAAGGAAGAGACACUCUCAAGUUGGGUCUUAUGAAGCAUAUUGCUACCGGUGAGGAUACAAAAAUCUGGGAACAAAAUUGGUUACCAAGGGAUUAUAAGUUGAUACCAGUUGUUAGGUUGAUCUCCUCUGUGCAGGCCCAAUGA
rnacentral:rRNA from 1 species